UAACGCGUGAGGAAUCUGCCUCAAAGAGGGGGACAACAGUUGGAAACGACUGCUAAUACCGCAUAAGCCCACGGCUCGGCAUCGAGCAGAGGGAAAAGGAGCAAUCCGCUUUGAGAUGGCCUCGCGUCCGAUUAGCUAGUUGGUGAGGUAACGGCCCACCAAGGCGACGAUCGGUAGCCGGACUGAGAGGUUGAACGGCCACAUUGGGACUGAGACACGGCCCAG
rnacentral:rRNA from 1 species